rnacentral:rRNA from 1 species
UACAGAGGGGGCAAGCGUUGUUCGGAAUUACUGGGCGUAAAGGGCGCGUAGGCGGCCCGCUAAGUCGAACGUGAAAUCCCCGGGCUCAACCCGGGAACUGCGUCCGAUACUGGUGGGCUCGAAUCCGGGAGAGGGAUGCGGAAUUCCAGGUGUAGCGGUGAAAUUCGUAGAUAUUAGGAAGAGCACCGGUGGCGAAGGCGGCCCACUGGAUCGGUACUGACGCUGAGGUGCGAAAGCGUGGGGAGCAAACAGG